CGGGAUGUAGCUCAGCACGGUUUAGAGUACUCGUCUGGGGGGCGAGGGGUCGCGAGUUCAAAUCUCGCCAUCCCGACAA
rnacentral:tRNA from 1 species